AAUAUUGGACAAUGGGCGAAAGCCUGAUACAGCUAUGCCGCGUGUGUGAAGAAGGNCUNNGGAUUNUNAAGCACUUUAAGUUGNNNNNGAGGGUUGUAGCUUAAUACUCUGCAAUUUUGACGUUACCGACAGAAUAAGCACCGGCUAACUUCGUGCCAGCAGCCGCGGUAAUACGAAGGGUGCAAGCGUUAAUCGGAAUUACUGGGCGUAAAGCGGGCGUAGGUGGUUCGUUAAGUUGGAUGUGAAAGCCCCGGGCUCAACCUGGGAACUGCAUCCAAAACUGGCGAGCUAGAGUACGGUAGAGGGUGGUGGAAUUUCCUGUGUAGCGGUGAAAUGCGUAGAUAUAGGAAGGAACACCAGUGGCGAAGGCGACCACCUGGGCCGAUACUGACGCUCAUGCACGAAAGCGUGGGUAGCAAACAGG
rnacentral:rRNA from 1 species